rnacentral:rRNA from 1 species
UACAGAGGUGGCAAGCGUUGUUCGGAAUUACUGGGCGUAAAGGGCGCGUAGGCGGUCCGAUAAGUCCUGUGUGAAAUCCCUCGGCUCAACUGAGGAACUGCACGGGAGACUGUCGGGCUUGAGUUCGGGAGAGGGAAGCGGAAUUCCGGGUGUAGCGGUGGAAUGCGUAGAGAUCAGGUGGAACACCGAUGGCGAAGGCAGCAUCCUGGCCGGAGACUGACGCUGAGGCGCGACAGCGUGGGGAGCAAACAGG